rnacentral:SRP_RNA from 1 species
GCUGGGCAUGGUGGCGGGUGCCUGUAAUCCCAGCUACUUGGGAGGCUGAGACAGGAGAAUCGCUUGAACCCAGGAGGCGGAGGUUGCAGUAAGCCAAGAUCAUACCACUGCACUCCAGCCUGGGUGAUAGAGUGAGACUCUGCCUCAA